AAUAUUGGUCAAUGGGCGCAAGCCUGAACCAGCCAUGUCGCGUGCAGGAAGACUGCCCUAUGGGGUGUAAACUGCUUUUAUAGUAGAAGAAACACACCUCCGUGUAGAUGUCUGCCAGUAUACCAUGAAUAAGCAUCGGCUAACUCCGUUCCAGCAGCCGCGGUAAUACGGAGGAUGCAAGCGUUAUCCGGAUUUAUUGGGUUUAAAGGGUGCGUAGGCGGGACUGUAAGUCAGGGGUGAAAUACUGCAGCUUAACUGUAGCAUUGCCUUUGAAACUGCCGUUCUUGAGCACAGUUGAGGUAGGCGGAAUGUGGUGUGUAGCGGUGAAAUGCAUAGAUAUACCACAGAACGCCGAUUGCGAAGGCAGCUUACUAAGCUGUUACUGACGCUGAGGCACGAAAGCGUGGGGAUCAAACAGG
rnacentral:rRNA from 1 species